rnacentral:rRNA from 1 species
AACGAACGCUGGCGGCAGGCCUAACACAUGCAAGUCGAGCGCCCCGCCAGGGGCGCGGCGGACGGGUGAGUAACGCGUGGGAAUAUGCCCUUUGCUACGGAAUAGUCUCGGGAAACUGGGGGUAAUACCGUAUACGCCCUUUGGGGGAAAGAUUUAUCGGCGAAGGAUUAGCCCGCGUUGGAUUAGGUAGUUGGUGGGGUAAUGGCCUACCAAGCCGACGAUCCAUAGCUGGUUUGAGAGGAUGAUCAGCCACACUGGGACUGAGACACGGCCCAGACUCCUACGGGAGGCAGCAGUGGGGAAUCUUAGACAAUGGGGGCAACCCUGAUCGAGCCAUGCCGCGUGAGUGAUGAAGGCCUUAGGGUUGUAAAGCUCUUUCAGCUGGGAAGAUAAUGACGGUACCAGCAGAAGAAGCCCCGGCUAACUCCGUG